rnacentral:lncRNA from 1 species
UGGUAAUAUAGCAAUUCUGCUUUACUUUUUCUAAAAUUUACUCAAUUUACAUUGACUUGUUUGCUCUCUUUCAUUCUUUUUGACACAGCAUUACAAAGAGAUUUCUUAAGUGAGCGAAAACCAGACCAUACAUUUCUUGCAAUUUCCAUAAAUCCACUGUGGAACUUCAAAAGCAAUAUUUAAAAAUGGGAGAUGACUACCAAAAGCUCAGUUCUAGGGGUUUUAUUCCAACUAAUCUUAGCCGGUUCAGCCAAUAAACACUUCUGGAAGAUUAGAAGAUGAGAAGAGAGAGAUGCCAGGGGAUUCCUUUUACUCCUUUUUUUCUAACCUUCAAAUGACAUUGCCAGCAUUGGUGAUCUUGACUACGUGUGUAUGCUUUCUCUGCCACCAACCACACCACAUUGGCGCUCAUACCUUCGAGGUAAGAGUAGUGUGGGAAUAAACCCAAGCAAUAGUCUAUCUUGCUCUGAUUCCCCAUGCAGAACACCAAGU